CAGCCUGGGCAACAAGAAUGAAGCUUCGUCUCAAGAGACUCAGCUUUUUCAUAUGUAAACAGGGAAACAGGGCUAAUAAUUAGUCCUUGGCAUAACUGUUGUUAAGAUACAGUAUGUGAAUUCACUAAAUAGAAGGUAAUUAUACUUAGUUCACUAAAUGGAAGGUAAUUAUACUUCUUAUUGAUGUCAUAACAACUGGUCAGGCAAAGAAGGGAGUACUGGGAAGUGGGGGCCUGGUCAGGAAAGUCUUCAUCAAUGGGGAGACAUUCCAGCUGGGUUUUGAAGGAUGCGUAGGAGUUUCUAAUCAAAGGGGGAAGGGCAUUCUAGAUGGGGGAAAUGUGUGUACAAAGGCAUGGUGGUAAGAAGUGCUCUAGUGCAUUUGGAGAGCUGUAAAUAGUUCGGUAAAUAGUUCAGCAGGUGUAGCCGAAACUGGUCAGGUGAGCUUGAUCAGAAUCUCUGAGAGUAGGUUACAGGAAUCUGUGUUUGGUAAGAAGAUUCCCAGGAGAUUCUGAGGCUGACUUCCCACAGGCCUAAAGUCUGGAAACCCAUUGCUGUACCUGACAUUCUGCACAAUUCUCUCUAAUCUGAAUCACAACCCAGCAAGAUAGAAGUAAUUUGUCCUUAUUUUACACAGCAGAAAGCCAAGACUCAGAGAGGUAAAGCGACUUGCCCAGGAUCACACAGCUAAGGUGAGCAAGAUUCAAUCCCUGGCCAGCUUGACUUCAAACCCCAUCCGCACGAGUUGCAAAUGGACUGCUGGGGCCGUCUGAGAACGCUGUGAUCCUGGGGACUUCACUUAGCGCCCCAUCGCCUGAUCUCCCUCAGAUUCAUCUUUCCCUCUGAGUGCUGGUGGCCAAGCAGGCGCUGAAAUCCCCAAGAGUCCAGGAGGUGGCGCUGCCAGGUGGGCAGGAUGGUGGCCUCACCUGACGCAGUGCACACCUCCAGCAGGUAUCAGAUGGACUGCAGCUGGGAGCAAGAUUCUCAUAGCAAUGACAAAGAUUCACGACACCCUCCACCACGUAGCUGUAUGUGUGUGUCCUCAGAUUUCAUACAGGGCGACUGUGGUUUUCCCCUGAAAGCAGCAGCACUGAUCCCUGCACAGGAGGUGAAGGGGGGCGCUGCGGGAAGGGCUUUGAAACAGAGAGGGGAGCCUGGCUCCUGCCCUGGCCCAGCUGGGGAGCCUGAGGGUGGGACUGUGACUGGGCAGCCUUAAGAAGUGUGGUCAGCGUGCCAUGCUCGUUUCCCAGGGUACUCAAUGUUGUGGGUCCAGUUGAGAUGGAGAGGAGCCAGGAAGACAGGCCAGGCCAGCUCUUUGCCUGGUGGCUGGGGAUUUCUGGCCGUGAGCUUGGGGGACUUUGCAGAGCUGGAGUGGGAGGGACCUUUCCUAACAGCGACACCCUGUGGUGUUGGCCGCUGCAACUGACACUCAGGUGACUUGUCUGGUUGUCUCCUCGAGGUGCUGUGACCAGGGCUUGACCUUUGGACUGAGAGAGCAUCCGCUGGGCCGGGGGUCUUGGAGUUAUUUGGAAGGAGGACCCUGAGAUUUCUUUGAGAGAUUACCUAAUCCAAGAAGCAAGAGAACAUGACCUCGCUUUAUGCUCCAAGCAGCUGACCUUGGAAUCUGGUUAUAAAUGCAUCUGUGCCUUUCUUGGACAAAGUUUUUGCUUCUCUCUCUCUCUCUCUCUCUCUCUCUGUGUGUGUGUGUGUGUGUGUGUGUGUGUGUGUGUGUGUGUCCGCUGGCCCAGGUGAGUGUUCCAUCCUCAGGUCCCUGAAGCAUAUCCCAGCAGGGCAGGCUUGGUUCCAAAGGCCACGUGGGCUGCGUAAUGACUGACUGGCCCUGUGCAGCCUGUGGAGCGAGGGCGGAGACAUGGCCAAGCUCAGCUGAGCACACCUGGCCUGAGAGCCUGAGGGCCCAGGUGUUCCCUGAGAGUCGAGGGCAGAUGUAGGGGGGAGUCAGGCUUUUUUAAUCAUAGAAGCAACUGCCCGCCUGCCACAGUCAAUGCUAAGCUCCUCAAACAUCUUGCAAGCUGCUUGCUCAGGCCUCUGACUCAGGAUUGAACCGCAUGUGGCACAAUCCUGCUACAAAGAUGCCCACAUCCUGGCUGUUCCGGAACAUUCCUCAGCCUCACUGGGUGUGAUUAUUAAAGGUGCAGUAUGGACAGCGGCUUGUCCUUUCCACUGAAAGAAGGAACAGGUGUCAGGACUGGAGGGGGCUCGCUGGAGGCAGGUGCUUUUCGGUUACCUGGGUUUCCUGCACCUCUCUUCUUGCAGCAUUUGCCUCUGGACGCGUGGCCUUGAGCCUGACCCCUGGAGUUUAUCCCAGUGCUUGGUGACGAGACCCCACCUACUGCAUAGGAGGACAGGCAGAGGGUCAGCCAGAGCCUGGGAUGUGGAAGCGCCACCUCGCUUUGCAGGCUGUGUGUCCUCAGGAAGAAAGCCUGAAGUGCGCCAACACACCUGGACAGACUUGUCACGAACCACUGUCUGCUCUUCAGGCCCUACAGACUUUGUCCCAGGCCAUUGUAUGUUCUUCAAAUCCUGUAUUCCAGGGUUCUCCAGCCCCUGGACCAUGGACUGGUACUGGUCCAUGGCUUGUCAGGAACCAGGCCGGACAGCAGGAGGACCGUCUAGUUGCAAGAAAACAAGCUCAGGGCUCCUACAUGAUGUGCUUGGCAGUCAGUAAAUGGGCUCUGGAGUAAGAAAAAGACAAGAUGUGAAGACCUGGGAGAAAAAUCAGACCAUCGGACGAUAGAAACAGACCCACGGGGAUCCUGAUCAGGGAAUUAUCCAUGAUGAGGUGGAGUCUCAAGGAAUGAAAAGGCAAGAUUAAGAAAUUUUGGCAGAGAACUGGAAAGUAUAAACAAGAACCAAGUGGAAAUUCUGUGAAAAGUGAAAGCUUCUUCUCAGAGCCAGGACAAUGAGGACAGGCUGAGGGGUGUCAGGCCAUAGCCUUGUCUCCCAUGGGCCAGGCAGAGCAUCCCAGAACACCCUCCUUCACAAUGAGCACCGUCCUUCAUGAACAAUUUACUGAUUAACAACUUCGGACCCCAGGAGGUUACACGGUGCCCAAGUCCUUCCAGAGGCCACAACAAUAAAUCCACGCCACUGCUAAUGUUAUUUAUAAGCUGGGGGAUUAAAACGGAAAAAAAUCAAUUAGUUAAAAUGAGCCCUUUAUCGAGACUAUAAGCAUCUUACUUUCCCAGAACCGAGACCAAAUAAGUGACCAAUUCUUCUCUAAGAGAAUGAAAGGGUUUGCCAUUUUUACUGAAAUAAAAGGUUUUCACU